GCUGAGAGGAAGAGAAGGGACGAGAAAGGCACACUUUGCUUGCAGGCCUGAGAGCUUUUAUUCCAUGCGUGGUCGCAGCAAUGGUCGGAGUGACCGCUCCCAGCGCGAUGCAAGGCAAAAUGGCGACAGGACAAAGAAAGCAUUAAGUUAAGUAGGGGGUGGGCGGAUAGAGGUGGAAACCCCCCUCGCACAAUAGGGACAGACAGCAGGGGAGUGACAUAGAACUUAACAACCUAUGGGAACAUAACAGAGGUGGGUACAGUGUUCUGGGACAAAUAGGAUUGCAAAGGUGGGGUGAUUGAUACAGAACUUUCAAGAAGAAUCAGGGAGUGGCUACAAGAUUGACAUGUAAGAGCUCCUGUGGAUGGUCAGCAGAAAGUUUCUUCACUUGUGUCACCAUAACAAGUUAUGACUGUGUUACUUAAUCUCGAAUAAUGUAAAUUUCAUUGCAUGUUAUGAGCACCUGAAAAGUGCAAAAGCAUUUCCCUUUUAUAUAAAAAAAGGAAGCAGUCCUGUUCUCAUUACAAAUAUUCUUUCAUACUUUAUCACUUCAAGGACUCCUUGUAUUUCUUCCCUGUCAUUUUGGGCUGGCAUGAUGAUCACAGACUUAAUCACGUCAAAAACAAACUCAUAACCUUUUAUCACUUGCAAUGUUUUCCACGUUCAUUAGUCCCAGGAAUCUGCAUGCUUGAUUGUUUAAUUUGAAAUCUGUUGCUGUUUUUCUCCAAAGCUUUCCAGAGAUAUAGGUGAUAUUCUUUUGCUUUUUUUUCCCCUCUAUAUCAAAACAUGAGAUUUCUAACUCUUAGAAUAUUCUGUGACAUUAGAAUCAAAAUACAGUAAAUUAACUAAGGUAGGCUUUUUCCUUAAAAAUAUCUACUGGAAAAAUUUUUGAAAUAUAUAAUAAAAAUAAUUAUUGGGUUGUCUAAAUACUUCAGCAUUGUUUUCUUUUUACUUUUCUAAAAGACUCAUGUAAUUCUUUUUAGCUAUAUUUCAGUAAAAAGUUGUGACCUCUUUUUCUAUUUAAUGAACACUGAGUGUACUCAGUGGCCAUUCUGUGACUGUAUGAUCUUAGAACAAUGAGAUGGAUUCAUUCUUAAUCGACCUUUAUUAAAUUUGAGCUUUUCUUUGUUCCUUGAAAGAGAAUGUCAAACUUCUAGAAUUGUUUUAGUCUCUCCAACCUCUAAUAAAUGCAGUAUUGCCAUAAUGAUAGAGUUCCACAUGGAUAGUUUUAAAGUAUACUUUUACAUCUGCAUCUUUUAUUCAUUAGCCAAAAUCCACUUCAUUUCAUUUAAGAUAAUUAUAAUCAAUAGCUAUGACCUUUUAUGGAACCAGAUGUUGGAAACAGUAACUUCCCCCACCCCAAAUUCAGCCACCUGUCACUAUCCAAAGCGCUGAGAACACGUGUAUGUGCCCAUAUGGAUGAAGAAUCUUUGCUAGUUACUGUUUUUUUUACUGUUUUUGAAGAUAUGUAUCUCUGUGAGAGAGAUGCACUCCAGAGAAGCAGAUAGGCAAUGCUGUAAGCAAGGAUCAGAUGUAUUUUAAACAAAUCCUGGAAGUGCAUCUUGAAGAAAAGUGUGUCAAAACAUUGGUUAUUGGUCUGUGCUGUUGCAGAAGAAUGUUCCAGCUACAAAACACAGACAGGAGCACGUGAAUUAUGACAAGUUAUUUUUGUUAUACAAUCUUUUUCCAUAAUAAACAUAAG